GAGUAAAUAAGCCAGUAUUAUCCCUAACAGGUUAUCAAAACUACAAAUCUUAGUGAGUAAAAAUUCAUCUAACCCUUGCUACAUCUAUCUUCUAUCACUAAGUGUCAGCAAGCUGCUGUUGAUCUGGAGAAGUCCUUUGUUGCCAAUCCCAUCGAGCUGCUUUCUGCAGAGAACUGCCCCCUUUGAAGACCUGCCCCGGUUGUCUUUGUGUGAGCUGCUUCAGUGAAGGAACAGAGAGGCAUGCCUUAGGCCCGAAAAGGAAUGACUUGUGGGCAAAUAUUGAUUGCUUUUCCCCAAGAUCAACUAGUAAGUAUAAAAGGACACCUAAACAUGAAAUUGAAAGGUUUCCAUUGUUAAACCAGGGCGGAAGGCAGAGAAGGAAGACUGUACUUGCCUACCUGGGAACACGAAGGGUGUCCUUGAUGCAACUCUGAACAUUCUGAGAAUGAUUUUCAAACCCAAAACAUUUCGACAGUGUGGAAUGGAUGCCUCUGUGAAAUAGAGAUGAGCUUGAAAGAAAAGAUGAAAUUUGCACAUGUUCCUUUUGCAACCAGGGCUUUCUAGUGAAUUGCUUGAUUCAGAAGAUAAUUCUUCCUAUUUUUCAGUGUUUGAAGUGUAGCAUGUGCUCAAGCAGCUAAUGGAUCUGUUUCUGGCCACAAUGCCAUCUUUGAGAUGCAAAGCUUAUAGAGUGGGCAUCAGAUUGACCUUUGCUUCCCAACUGCUCUUGAUCUCACUGCAUACUGAUUUGUUCUUCCAGAAAGAGGAAAGGCAUAAAGGUUAGGCAGCCCGGCACAGAUUAAAUGAAAGCAGAAAUAAGUUUUUAUUUUUAUUCGGAUAAGUGAACAACGUCUUUCCAAGGCUUCAGAAUCUGUCAGUCAUAUAUUACACACACAUGCACACGCACACAUGAACACACAUCCUUGAACCUUUCUAGGCACAGAGGAUAAAAGAGCAAGCAACACAAAACUUCCGCCAUCAUGGAACUUACACUGCAG
rnacentral:lncRNA from 1 species